CUUUUUUUAUUUGCAGGUGAGGGUGUGAGGUGGCGUUCAAAGGUUGUCAAGGGGUUGUGAGGAGCUAUAGGGCUCAAGUUCGAGGUUAAAGAUUAGAAACCGAAGGUUGAAGAUCAGAUUUGGGAUUAGAUGAGUCGCUGGUACAACUGACGUCGUCGUGGUGUAGGUCAGAUGAGUCGCUGGAGUCCAGGCCAAGUAACAGUGUCGCUGGAGUUUCGGGAAGCUAACGAUGUCAUCAAUUCGAGUGCAGGUGAUGUGCCGAUUAUUGAUUUUGGAUCAAUUACUAACUGUUUGCCAUUUUCUUUCUAGAAAAUCAAUGUAGUGUCUGCUUCUUAAUCUUGUUCUCUAUGAGUACCAUUGUUACCGUCUCUGGUAAAAACAUCUAACCAUAUGCCAGAUUCGUUGAUUCAGGCUACAAAAGUACCUGUUAAAGAGUAUGAGUUUGAUGAAAAGAAGAUGGCAAAUGUGCAGUCUCAUCUGGAAAAAUUGGUUGCCAAUAACUAUUACUUGAACAGGUCUCCAAAAGAUGCGUACAGAUAAAUAUAUUAUUCAUGAAGUGAAGGCAAGAAUAGUUGAAUGGUAUAUGAUUAUGAACAGGG